rnacentral:rRNA from 1 species
UACGGGGGGAGCAAGCGUUGUUCGGAUUUACUGGGCGUAAAGGGCGCGUAGGCGGCCAGCACAAGUCAGUUGUGAAAUCUCCGGGCUUAACUCGGAAAGGUCAACUGAUACUGUGCGGCUAGAGUGCGGAAGGGGCAACUGGAAUUCUCGGUGUAGCGGUGAAAUGCGUAGAUAUCGAGAGGAACACCUGCGGCGAAGGCGGGUUGCUGGGCUGACACUGACGCUGAGUGCGCGAAAGCCAGGGGAGCGAACGGG